CGACCGGCGCACGGGUGAGUAACACGUAUGAAACCUGCCCGUAGCAGGGGGAGUAAGCGGAAGAAAUUACCGUCUAAUACCGCGUAACAACCCAUGGAGGCAUCUCUGUGGGUUUAAAGGAAGCGAUUCCGGCUACGGAUGGUCAUGCGUCGCAUUAGCUUGUUGGCGGGGUAACGGCCCACCAAGGCGACGAUGCGUAGGGGUUCUGAGAGGAAGGUCCCCCACACUGGUACUGAGACACGGACCAGACUCCUACGGGAGGCAGCAG
rnacentral:rRNA from 1 species